rnacentral:rRNA from 1 species
GACGAACGCUGGCGGCGUGCUUAACACAUGCAAGUCGAACGGAAAGGCCCUGCUUUUGUGGGGUGCUCGAGUGGCGAACGGGUGAGUAACACGUGAGUAACCUGCCCUUGACUUUGGGAUAACUUCAGGAAACUGGGGCUAAUACCGGAUAGGAGCUCCUGCUGCAUGGUGGGGGUUGGAAAGUUUCGGCUGUUGGGGAUGGACUCGCGGCUUAUCAGCUUGUUGGUGGGGUAGUGGCUUACCAAGGCUUUGACGGGUAGCCGGCCUGAGAGGGUGACCGGCAACAUUGGGACUGAGAUACGGCCCAGACUCCUACGGGAGGCAGCAGUGGGGAAUAUUGCACAAUGGGCGGAAGCCUGGUGCAGCAACGCCGCGUGCGGGAUGACGGCCUUCGGGUUGUAAACCGCUUUCGCCUGUGACGAAGCGUGAGUGACGGUAAUGGGUAAAGAAGCACCGGCUAACUACGUG